rnacentral:lncRNA from 1 species
UGUCUUUCGAAAUAGUAUUCAUAUAUUAUUGUUAAAAUUGAAAUAUUCAUACUUGUUUUUGUGCUUUAUUACAAAUGUCUAUUAACUGAAUUUGCAAAAUUACUUGUCUAAAAUUAAAAAAAAAUUCAAUGUCCAUAACUUAACAAAGUUGUCUCAUGCCAAUAAAAUAUCUAUAUAUUUUCCCCGGGCGCUUUUUCUGUUUCCCGGGCGCUAUAUUUUCUUCUCCGGGCGCUUUUUCUUUUCCCGGGCGCUUUUU